UUGCUGGGGGGAAGAAAAAGAAAUAUAAAUAUUGGAAAUAAGGGUAAGUCACUUCACACACUUUGUGGAAGAUGAGAACACUCAGGAACUGCAAAUACCCAGACACCACUACUGUCUGAACUUUAUUUGGCAAAGGAAGUAACCCAGGAGCAAAUGUGUAGUGAGGGAGGGUUUGUACCCAAAUUUCCAAAAUGUCUAAUUUACAAACCACUUCACCUUUUUUGAUCAAAUACUAUGUGCAGGCUAAAUGCUGGAAAAAAAUAAUGUGCAAAGAUAGUAAACUACUUGAAAUAAGGACACAUUUAAGGCAUUAAAGAUUUCAAGUAAGCCAGCAUGAAAGAAGGAAUAUUUGCAGUAGUGAAGCUUUAAAGAAAAGUGAUCUGCAGGCUCAGAAUAACACCCAGAGAUUUGACCUUGGGACUGAAAGCUUGGAACAUAGUAAGAACACUCAAUAACAUUUCAUUAGAGCCUUUUAUCUAAAUGUUAGAUAAAAGAUUAGAUUUUCCUUUAGAUUUUAUUUAAUAAAAAUACUGUUUAUUCCUUGCUUGUUUUUUAGCUAAUGUUAUUCACAAAUGGAGGAACCUCCGUUAAACCUUGGAAAAUGAUGAGAGUACAAUGACUUAUAAAAUAUGUUUUUAAGAAGUUUACAGUAUGAAAUUAAAAGAUCUGUAGAACACAAAAUAUAGGGUAAUAAACUUGGAUGAGUUUUCAGAAAGUUUAGUUUUAUGAGUGUAUAAUCUAAACCUUAUUCACAUCUCUAUUAAUGGGUAACUGUUCUGAGCUCUUAGGUAGAGCUCAUGUUACAUUUCCUUCCACUUGCACUGAAGCAUAUAGUCUUAGUAGUGGCACAAAUGCCAGAAGGCAUUGUGAGAAAAUACGAAUGAGGAACAGAACUUUGGCCUAAGAAAUGGAAAAGUGGUGAGAAGGAGCUGCCAGUCUUUAUGAUAGAUAGAGAAUAGGGCAAGUUUCCUCAUCUUUCUCAGACCUGAGUUAGAUGAUCUCUAAAAGGCUUUCCAGCUCUCAAAA
rnacentral:lncRNA from 1 species